AUCAGACAUCGGUGCUAUCGUAACCCUCAACAUGGGUUGCAGCCUCUACAGCGGUUCACCAAUAUCGGCAGUUGUUGGGGGGCCUGCCGGGUUUGUAUUUCUUGCUCUGACACCCUAUGACUGUAGGUAAGUGUUGGUAAUAGUUUAAAGUCGAACAAAGAAAGUUUUUCAGCAUUUUUUAGCAAGUUUGAGCUGAUUUCGCUCAGAGCUCUGUAGAGAUGCGUCUGAGCAGGAUGGCUG